ACUAUUUUGGCAGAAAAGUGCCAUGGAUUUAGAAUCCAUAAAUGUAAGAAAAUCUUACAUGUAGUA
rnacentral:tRNA from 1 species